CCUACGGGUGGCUGCAGUGGGGAAUAUUGGACAAUGGGCGAAAGCCUGAUCCAGCCAUGCCGCGUGUGUGAAGAAGGCCUUCGGGUUGUAAAGCACUUUCAGUGGGGAAGAAAGCCUUGGGGCUAAUACCCUCGAGGAAGGACAUCACCAACAGAAGAAGCACCGGCUAACUCCGUGCCAGCAGCCGCGGUAAUACGGAGGGUGCGAGCGUUAAUCGGAAUUACUGGGCGUAAAGCGCGCGUAGGCGGUCUGAUAAGCCGGUUGUGAAAGCCCCGGGCUCAACCUGGGAACGGCAUCCGGAACUGUCAGGCUAGAGUGCAGGAGAGGAAGGUAGAAUUCCCGGUGUAGCAGUGAAAUGCGUAGAGAUCGGGAGGAAUACCAGUGGCGAAGGCGGCCUUCUGGACUGACACUGACGCUGAGGUGCGAAAGCGUGGGUAGCAAACAGGAUUAGAUACCCCAGUAGUC
rnacentral:rRNA from 1 species